GGCGUACAUGUAAACAUGACCUAGCUACGCCACUGUUGCCACAGGUUAGUUUUUUUAAUUGGUUGUAUUUUUGUGGGCUAUAUCAAACUGGAUAGAACAAAUCAAGAAAACGCCCGUUCACAUGCUGUUAACAGAGCUUGUUAUUCAAUGGUUUCGUUUGUUAUUAUACAUCAUAAUUGUAUUUCGUUCAUUGGUUUGUACUUAAAUCCGGCGCAAGUUUCCCGUUUCAGUUGUUUUAAGGGCUUUUAAUAGCUGACUCUGUGGUAUGGGUUUUACUCAUUGUUGAAGACCGUCCGAUGUCCUAUAGUCGUUAUCUUUUUAUCAUUUGAUCUCUGGUUGAGAUCUGCCUCAUUGGUAAUCAUACCACAUCUUCUUAUUUGUAUGUGCGUAUCCAUAUGCAUGGUAUCUUAACAUAUUGAUAGAUACAAAUUAAAGUAUCGGUAAAUGUUCCCUUAUUGCAGACAGACAGAUCAGAAAGUAUGCACGCGUAAAAACUCGUCGCUGUCAAGCUGAUGAGCAAAUAUGGAGUCGUUCAGUUAGGUUGUUUCUGAGAAAAGUACCAAACAUAUGGUUAUACGAUCAGACAAAGAAUAAACAAAAUGUUAUACUACAACUUCAUUGUCGGUCAAUUCAGAAAAUCAUAACAUGAAAUUGCACGAAACUGCUGUAAUUACAAAACAAGAAGUACUCUGAUAAACAAAUUUAAUGAUACUUUUAGAUAUUUGGAUGAUAUUUUGGCUCUCAAUAAUGACGACUUCAGUAUGUAUAUUAACGAAAUUUAUCCUGUUGAACUUACUUUAAAUAAAGCUAAUACUAACAAUGACCACUGCCCUUUUCUCGAUCUUGAUAUCUAUAUCACUAAUGGAAAGCUGAAUACUAAAAUUUAUGAUAAAAGGGAUGAUUUUUCAUUUCCUAUCGUUAAUUAUCCGUUUUUAGAUGGUGACGUUCUCUUGUCACCAUCUUACGGUGUUU
rnacentral:lncRNA from 1 species